rnacentral:sRNA from 1 species
GUGAGUAUUACAAAUGCCCUUGAUAGCAAAAGAAACAUGGAUUUUCAUAUUAAGGUGUCAUUUACAUAACUAGCAUGCAUGUAGUUGGUGCAACGAUUAAUUUAAUAACCUGCCCUCAUUGUCAUAGGGACGCUUGAUGGUUGACAAAUUAACUAUCAUUUACCUUUUAAGAUAUUAUUUGUUAAGCAUUAAACUAUAUUUAGGAAAGAAACAAAUUCCUGUAUUUUAUGUUUAAAAUUUAUAUUUUCCUAUGUCUUUAUACAAAGCUCUUCUUCUGAAGAAGACCAAUACAGUCUAAAAAUGGCCAAUACCACCGAGCCAUCUUAAGUGAUAUAGGAACAAAAACACAGAUUGUCAAAUGUACCGAUAAAGGACAUUUAUUUUUGUUGUAAUUUGCCUAUCUAUUACAGUGUAUAUAGUUUUUUCACGUUUCUAGCAUUUCUAAAAUCAGAUUAAAAGGUAAUUUUAAUGGUAAGUUGUAAAAAGAGCACUGUUUUUAGUCUGGCUUUAAAACGAGUUUCUUUUUUGUUUAAUAUUUUUUCAAUACCUCAGUGAACAUGCGUGCUUGCAUUUUAAGUGGUUUUAUAUUUAUUUCUUUAUUUACUUUUGUAAACUUUAAAUUAUCGUAAUAAAAUUUUCAUUGAUAUAUGCCAU